rnacentral:rRNA from 1 species
UACAGAGGGGGCAAGCGUUAUUCGGAAUUAUUGGGCGUAAAGGGCGCGUAGGCGGCCUGGCAAGUGGAAGGUGAAAUCCCUCGGCUUAACCGAGGAACUGCCUCCCAAACUGCUUGGCUUGAGACCGGGAGAGGUGAGUGGAAUUCCCAGUGUAGCGGUGAAAUGCGCAGAUAUCAGGAAGAACACCCGUGGCGAAGGCGGCUCUCUGGGACGGUACUGACGCUGAGACGCGAAAGCGUGGGGAGCAAACAGG